AUUCCGGUCGGUAGGUUAACCCAAGCGUUUCCAUCGCCUGCAAAUAUCCGUUAAAACGGUGCUGGUUCGCUGCGGCAUGC
rnacentral:tRNA from 1 species